rnacentral:rRNA from 1 species
GACGAACGCUGGCGGCGUGCUUAACACAUGCAAGUCGAACGGAACGGCCCUGCCUUUGUGGGGUGCUCGAGUGGCGAACGGGUGAGUAACACGUGAGUACCCUGUCCCUGACCUUGGGAUAACUUCAGGAAACUGGGGCUAAUACCGGCUAGGAGCUCUCGCCGCUUGGUGGGGGUGGGUAAGUUUCGGUGGUUGGGGAUGGACUCGCCGCUUAUCAGCUUGUUGGUGGGGUAGUGGCAUAGCAAGGCUAUGACGGGUAGCCGGGCUGAGAGGGUGAGCGGCCACAUUGGGACUGAGAUGCGGCACAGACUAGAAUGCGAGGCAGGGGAGGGGAAGAGUGCACAAGGGGCGGGGGGAUGGUGCAGCAACGCCGCGUGGGGGAUGAGAGCAUGCGGGUUGGAAACCGCUUUCGCCUGUGACGAGGCGUGAGUGACGGUAACGGGUGAAGAAGCACCGGCUAACUACGUG